rnacentral:rRNA from 1 species
UACGUAGGGGGCAAGCGUUGUCCGGAUUUAUUGGGCGUAAAGAGCGUGUAGGCGGCCAGGUAGGUCCGUUGUGAAAACUCGAGGCUCAACCUCGAGACGCCGAUGGAAACCCCCUGGCUAGAGUCCGGAAGAGGAGAGUGGAAUUCCUGGUGUAGCGGUGAAGUGCGCAGAUAUCAGGAAGAACACCCGUGGCUAAGGCGGCUCUCUAGUACGGUACUGACGCUGAGACGCGAAAGCGUGGGGAGCGAGCAGG